rnacentral:rRNA from 1 species
UAGGGAAUAUUGCACAAUGGAGGAAACUCUGAUGCAGCCAUGCCGCGUGUGUGAAGAAGGCCUUCGGGUUGUAAAGCACUUUCGGAGGGGAGGGAAAAAAUAGACGUUACCCUCAGAAGAAGCACCGGCUAACUCCGUGCCAGCAGCCGCGGUAAAACGUAGGGUGCAAGCGUUGUCCGGAAUUACUGGGUGUAAAGGGAGCGCAGGCGGACCGGCAAGUUGGAAGUGAAAACCAUGGGCUCAACCCAUGAAUUGCUUUCAAAACUGCUGGCCUUGAGUAGUGCAGAGGUAGGCGGAAUUCCCGGUGUAGCGGUGGAAUGCGUAGAUAUCGGGAGGAACACCAGUGGCGAAGGCGGCCUACUGGGCACCAACUGACGCUGAGGCUCGAAAGUAUGGGUAGCAAACAGGAUUAGAUACCCUGGUAGU